rnacentral:rRNA from 1 species
GACGAACGCUGGCGGUGUGCCUAAGGCAUGUAAGUCGCACGGGCUGUCCGGGGUCCGCAAGGAUUUCGGAUAGUUAGUGGCGAACGGGUGAGUAAUGUGUGGGUGAUCUACCCUCAGGACGGGAAUAGCCCGCCGAAAGGCGGAGUAAUACCAGAUACGUUUCCACGUUUAAAAUCGAGGAAGCAAAGGAUGGCCUCUGCUUGCAAGCCAUCGCCAGAGGAGGAGCCCACAUCCCAUCAGCUAGUUGGCGGGGUAAUGGCCCACCAAGGCUAUGACGGGUAGCUGGUCUGAGAGGACGGCCAGCCACACUGGGACUGAGACACGGCCCAGACUCCUACGGGUGGCUG